GGCAUGUUUCUGAUAUCUACAAACUUAUAUCGUAAUGCAUGAAAAUAAACAACAAAUUGCUAUUUUAUAUUAUGAAACUGUCUGAAUGUAAUUUCACAGUUAAUUUCCAUUCACUCUUCCUCAGACUAUAAGCUAUAAGUAACCACAAACUGGAAGUUCCAGCAAGUCUAAGUCAUUCAAGAUUCUUCCAUAAUGCACAACCAAAUCUUCCCAUGGAAAGUGAAAACUAUAAGUUUCCAAUAUCACAUGCACUGACUUGGCAUUGCAGCAGUGAUGUUGGAGCAUCACCCUAAUGCUGAAAAUCUAGCAAUUCAAAUUCACAGCCCAUACAAAGCUUUGCAAAUAUCCCUUCCGAUACAUGCCCACUCUACAUCUUACUUGAUUUCCUAAACAAUAUUAUAUAUGAAAAUCACAGAAUACAUUUACAUCACAAAUAGAGGUAUAUCAUCAUUUCCGACAGCAUAAAGC
rnacentral:misc_RNA from 1 species